GGGAAUGUGGCUCAGUGGUAGAGUGCUUGCCUAGCAUGUAUGAAGUCCUGGGUUCAAUUCCUCGGAAUCACA
rnacentral:tRNA from 1 species